rnacentral:misc_RNA from 1 species
AACCAAAAGAGUCUGAACAGAAACGAGUUCAUAGCUUCAGAAGCUAAAUAAUUAGGAGAAGCUGUAAAGCCUGACAUAUGACGAUGUUCUGAGGCAUAUUUCCAUAUCCUUGUCCUGUGAAAUCAAUAGGCAGGCACUUCUUGGUGAAGACAGUUUUGUAUUUGGUAAUUCAGAUUAUUUUCCUUUCUUCCUUCGACCUAAUCUCUUAUUGCUGCCUGUGCUGUCUUUAGCUUUAUUAUUUAGGAAUACAAUUUUCUUUUUUUCCAAUUAUUUUUUAAUUGAGCAUAACAAUGAAGUGAUGACUUGCCUUGGAUAAUCAAUGUGUAAUAUGUAUGCAGUGCAGUUCCAUUUCCUAUCAACUUUGAACAAGUUUACCAUUACAAAGCUUUAAAUACUAUAAUUGUCAAGUAGAGAUAAGAGUUAUUGCAUGUAAGUGAAAGCAGUGAAGCCCCUGUCAAUGUUAAUAGUUUCUUUCCUAUUAGCCUGAACAUUUUGAACUGCAUAUUAUUGUUUUGAAUGUCUUCUGCAGAAAGAAUAACUAAUUAAUUAAAAAAAAUGCUACUGACAACAAGGAAUUGAAUUAUUGAAGGGCCUUUUUUUUUUUGUUUUUUUUGG